CCUCAGAGUGGGGGAGGCGCUAGGCAGCCUGUAGGGGAUCCGUGCCUUCAUGUGGGUUCGUUCGUGUUGUCCGAGGCGGGGGAGGUCUGAAAAUGACGCCUCGGUUUCCCAUUUGAGCAGCCUGAGCCUGCCGCAGAGCACGUGGGCCUUCACCUGCUGUAGGAGUGUCGCUUCCUUCGCGUCCCACUGUCAGCGCCAGAAGCCGUUAAGUCACACAGCGUGGACAGAUAAGCAACAAGUACAAUGCACAAAGAGGUGAAAGACACAUGAAAUCAUGUUCCAGGAUCUCAGAAAUGUGCCAAAGUCUGCCAGAAGAAAAGCAAUUGAGUACUUAGCAUUACCAAGUAAAGUAUUUCAGAUGACCAUUCUAACUUCUGCACAGAACGGCUGCAUCUUUCAUCUUUUCUUCAAGACCAUAGUCCAUGAUGGAAAAUACCUGCAGAGGGCUUGUUAUCUUCGUAGAAUAAACUGACUCUAUCUGGAGUCCUUUUCUCAGAACAACAGAACUUGUGCACGUACCGCAUGGUAAUAGUAACAAGUGUUACAGGCAACCUUCAGAGACUGUCCUUCCUUGCGGGGUCAUCUGUUGACUUAGGAUAUACUGAGUUGCCUGCCAAACACCGCUUAUAUCAAGGAUAAGUAACAAUUAUAAUGCAAACAUAAAACACAUACCAUACUGCAUUAGUAUUACUGUAGGGCAAUGGUUGGAGAAACAAAAUCCAUCAGCUAAAACUCUUCAAAGUAAUCAAUCUCCCAAUUUCACAAUGGGAAACAUUCUUCCCAUUUCCAGCAGAAAUGAAAGAACAUGUAUUUGCCGGAAUUUUUACAGAUUUUCUCCUCCAGAUUCUCAAUUGAGAUUACAAAAUCUUAACUACAUUCUGUCACGCAAUAAUAAGCUGAAAUUACCAUCUCAUCAAAUUUAGUAUUAUAAUUUUGGUUAGCAAAGCAUUGUUGCAUAUUCCCAAAGCGACGCUCCCCAGUGUUACUGAGGUUGGCUUGUUAUGAACUCAUGGCACGGACAGAGAGCUUUAUCUUAAUGAAUGCUAUCACAACAUGCACUUUUUUUUCGAAUUUUCCCAGUUUGCCAAGGCAAAUUUUAAGAUCUGUUCCUCAUAACUCAGCGAGCUCCUUCCCAUCUUUAAUACUCGUGGAUCAACCUCUCCAUUUGUGUCAACUUUUAAUAUUUAUGCAGUAAUAUUUACAAUUAAUUCCACUUUUAAAGUUAUUAAAACUCUGCAGCCUUUAUUCAGCCACGUUAAAUGUCAGCACAAGCUGCUCUGAGAUUCCCAGUGGAUCACUUUCCCAGUCUUAAAGAAGCCUUAACCAAACCAACCAGCUGACUCAGUACAGAAACAGACCGACACCAGAAGGACAGCCAAACCAGAGGUCUUUUCCUUGGCCCCAGAGAAUCUAAGCAUGUUCUGAAAAAUUAAGUACCAGUGGAUUCUACCUGUACACAGGUGUUAACAAAAACCUUUCUUCUUCCAUAAAAAGGGGAUACAGUGAUCUCAGUUUAAAAAAAAAAAGGUAACUACAGCACGUAACACACCCGAGCACCUCAGACGCCCUUAUUUAUCCACCCUCAUACUCCCAGCUCUGUGAGCACCAUUCUCAGAGCUCUGGCCAUUACUCUGCUCUAUUUGUUAGUAGGCAGCUGCUGGUAAAUCAGCUCAAGUCUGGCACUCGCUCUGCGUGCCAAAGGGACUGACUACACGUGCUAUCUGACAGCAGCUCUCAGAGGAUGGGAAGGAGAAGCACCUGGCACUGGAACUAAUUACAUCAGUUCUCUGUACCCUGAGCUAACAAAGCCUCGGAAUACAUUUUGUGGUUAUCUUACUUUAAAAUCAGUGAGAGAUGUUUCUCUCUAC